UAAUGUUCUACAAGGUGGAACUACGAAUAAUCAUCUUGUUGAGGAGAUACGAAUAUUGAUCGAUGAGGAGACAAUUGAGAUGAAUUUCACAAAUUCAUUGCCAACAACUAAUAAGAUAGUGAUUUCUCACUCGUCGAGAGAAUUCUCAACGAGAUUGAUGGAAAUCACACUUGGAAUAACAGGGCAGGCAGCUGUUUCCCUAAUGGCUUAUGUAUCAACAACAACUGCCACCACAUCGUCCUCGAGUUCUCUUCGAGGACUAAAUUUAGUGGUGGCAGGUAAUGCUGUUGGAUUUAUUGCCACUUUUCUCGGGAUGUGGUUGAGUAAGAAUAACAAGAAAACGAAACAGGUGGCUGCUGCGUCUGUCGUUGCUGGGAAAACAGGUGGCGUAGCAACUGCUUGCGCGAUCAUCGUAGCCAUGGGGAUGUUCCUUCCUGCAAAUGUUAUAUCUAUAUGGUUUAUUGGAUUUCUAUGCCUCUUCCCUGCUGCUGUUGUUGCUUUUGCUUAAGCUAUUCCUUUUGCUUAUUAGUACUAUUUCAUGUUAGCAUUUGGACUUUUUCAAUAUGGGUUGGUCCGAUCAAGAAAGGCAUGGGGCUUUUGGGCCUUGCUUGGGCCGAGCUAGGCUAGAGGGGUAGGGGAGGGGAGGGGAGGGGAAUGAAAUAGUAGUUGUUCAGACUCUUUAAUAAUGUUGACAGAUGUGUGUUGGAUCCUUAAAAAAAUAUAUUUUUGAAAGAUCCGACACGAGUGUAGCAAUAUUUUUGGAGAGUUAAUAAGAGCAUUGUUUAUUUAUAAAGAUUUAAUUGAAUUGUAUAAUUGUUAAUUGUUGGUUGAGCUUUAAUAAUUCUCCCAUAAGAGAAUUAGUGUGAGUGUCAUUCACGAUCAUUUAAAUCGUGACAAACAGACAAAUGAGAGGAAGGUGGAGUGAGAGAUUCUUUCCAACUUAUAUAAGUCAAAUCAAUCAUAAUUAUAACAUUACACAUAAGAAAGAAGGAAAACAAAUUUAAGAUUAAGAAAACAAAAACAAAAUUCAUAAAUGAAUAUAGAGAGUGUUUCAAUUGAUUUAAAAAUUGGUCAAAUCCACUUUUAAGUAAGUUUUUGACUUUUAAAAGUGUUUGACAAAUAUAAAAAACAACUUAAAAUAAGUCAAAAAUUGACUUAAAAUAAGUUAGAAAGUGUUUGACAAGGUAAAAAAUGACUUAAAAAAAGUCAAAAACCAAAAGUAGGUUAGACUAAAAAAUCAUUUUAGUUUGACUAUAAAACUAUUUUUUUCAAGUCAACCCAAACGGGCUUGUAAUAAUAUCAAUAUUAUCUAUGUACUAGAAAUAUAUCAUGAAUUUAAUGAACAUGGUCCUAUAUAUAUUGUCACAGUAAGAAACACUAGAGAGUAAAAAAUAUACUACUUUGCUUAAUAAAGUUUAAGUAAUUAAUAUGGAGAGGGCUUUGUUGAUUAUGUUUUUGCUAGUCACUUGUUUAAUCUUUUCAUCCGGUUAGUCUCUCUUUAUUUUUUUUAUGAACGUUACUCGAUUUUUUUUAUAUUAAAUAUAAUAUAUCAUAACAUUUUAUUAUAAUUGUUAAAUUAUUACCCACCAAUUUAGAACAUACUAACUCUAGAUCUGUCUUAAUCAUACAAUAAUUUUUAAUUUCUCAUGAAUUAACCAACAAUUACAAUUUUUGUGCAAGGUGCUAAUUUUUUUUUUCGAUCCUCAGAUGUUGUGAUGGGACAACAAUGUUCUUCAAUUAAGGAUUGUUCCAAUUUAUGCGAAGUUGGAUAUCUAACAUGUUUUAAGGGCAUGUGUAAAUGUUGUGUACAUUUUGGUUCAGCGGGAUGUCAUGUGAUAGAUCAAGAAAGCAUUAACUUUGGUCGCAAAGUAAUAACUUUAGAAGAUUCUUCUUAAUUACUUUGUUAAAGGUAUUUAGAUUUAUUAUGCCAGUAUUGGUAAAUGUAUUUUUGUGCUUCGCACAGUCAUAAAUAAUGUUAUUGAAUUUAUAUCGCAUUACAUAUGUUUUUUCUCACUUUUAUAUAGUUAUAUCGUAACCAGAGAUAGCUAUACAAUUUAAGUAACACAAAAUUAUAAAUUUCACAAUUAUUAAGUUCUAUUGCAAUAAAAAGUUAGUUAUUGCUAGACAGUAGGAAAAAUAUAAAAACAAAUAUGAAUGCAAAGUUAAUUGCUCACAAUGAUAUCGUCCAUAUAUACUGAAAUGCAAAAAGAAUCAUCCACAACAAAGAUAAUACUUGAAAAGGUAUUACGACAACUUCAUAUGAAUUUAGUAAAAUACUAAUUUUUUUGAUAUAUAUAUAUUAUUAUUACAAUCAAGAAGAAAACAAGCUACCAAAACUUCAUAUGAGUUCAGUAACUUUAACUUAAAUCACGUACGUUACGUACAAAUAACAAAUUUCGAAUCUAGAAAAAGCAAAAUGAUGCAAAAGCCAUGGCGGACACCAAGCUAGUGAUGGAGAAGUUUUUGCAGAACCUAGCUGCCUUUGGGUAUUUCCUGAGCAAAUACAAUGCACUGAAGGAAGUAGAAAAAGCUAUCAUAAGAAAAACUACGAAUACAUGGAAAAAAGAUCGAUUUCCUGUCCGAAUAAAUACAGGAAAUCGAUCUUGUCCUAUGUAUUUGUAAGGAAGAAAAGGCAUGAGUGUUGCUAAACCAGAAGUGAUUGUAACAAUUUUAGCUGUCGUUAGUCGAUCUUCAUCGACUGACGACAGCAAUAACAUAGGUACAUCAUCUUUUGGUUUCAUAGUUGAAUGCAAAUAGUGAUGUAAAAUGUUAUGGUUCUUAUCGUAACCCAAAUUAUAAAUAAGUAGUGCCGAAAAUUAAUUGAGUUCACACAGAGAAAUGUGAAUUGAUUUCUGGGCAAUUGCAAGGAAAGAAGAAAAGAAUUAAUAGCUGGGCCUAAGAAGAUAUUUUGGUUGAAUAUAUGGAUAAUUGGGGAGGAAACUUAGUAAGGAAGAAAAUAAAAAGUUUAUGUGAAUGAAUUUCUGUCAAUUGCAGAGAAAAUGGGAGGAAUUUACAAAUUCGAUUGAGAAAUUUUGGCAGAAUUUAUGGACAAUUGCAAAGAAAUUUCCUUGGAAAAGAAUACCUGUACCAAAAAAGGGAAACUAUUUAUGUUGAAGUGUGUAACCGUCUCAUUUAAAAGUUUAAGGUGUUAGAGAGAACACACUUUUAUUAUUUGAUUAUAUUCUCAACAAUUUACGAGCGGCUACCUAACUUUCGUACCCCUCUAUUUUUAAGUACUAGAGGAAGAAACAGUGCUCCAAUGAAAACAUUAUUUAGUGUUGCCGUAAAAAAACUGUUAAAUUACUGCUUGAUACUAGCAGAGUAUAUAAAUAUCAUAUAUAUAUAUAUAUAUUACAUACUCGGAUAGUAUCAAUGAAUAUAACAAGGAGACAGUCAAAUAAAUAGUUUGAUUGUGGGUCCAAUCUGGAUAAAUAUAUUGAGUUGGGUUCAAUUUGAGUAAAUACUUUGCCUUAUAGGAUCAAUUUGUGUAGUUCUCCCUAAAUGUUCUCCGUUAAUAGUUUGGUGCGGGAAAUUUCUUUGGUGUGAUUAAUAGUUUGGUUCCUUUAAAAGUAUCUUUAUUGUUAUUUAAUGAGUCAAAAAAUACUCUUUGGUGUGGACUUUUUCAUCCUCAACCAAGAGGUUUCAGGUUCGAGUCUCCUUGGUACAAAAUUGUCUUUGUUACCGAGCAUUUUACUGGAGAUUUCCCAGCGUGAAACCACAAAAAAAAAGAGGAAACCAAGCAAAGGAGUAGAGUAUUUUUAGUUGACUUUUGAGAAAUUUACAGGAAAAUCCAAGAAGCUACGCAAUUAUACAUUUGUUUCUUCUACUAUAAAAUCACCCAUAAAUGAUUAACAUGUGUUCAAUAAAAAAAAACUAAUUCAUUUUUUUCAUCAAAUUUAAUCAUGUCAACACUCAAAAGUCCAUCUUUUGAAGGUGAUAUUUUUCAAAAUCAUUCGUUCAGUGUUAAGAAUAAUCCGAUUUAUGAAGUCUAUGAAGAGAGAAUUAAUGUUCUACAAGGUGGAGCUACGAAUAAUCAUCUUGUUGAGGAGAUACGAAUAUUGAUCGAUGAGGAGACAAUUGCUAUGAAUUUCACAAAUACAUUGCCAACAACUAAUAAGAUUGUGAUUUCUCACUCGUCGAGAGAAUUCUCAACGAGAUUGAUGGAAAUCACACUUGGAAUAACAGGGCAGGCAGCUGUUUCCCUAAUGGCUUAUGUAUCAACAACAACUGC
rnacentral:lncRNA from 1 species